rnacentral:rRNA from 1 species
CCUACGGGUGGCAGCAGUGGGGAAUAUUGGACAAUGGGCGCAAGCCUGAUCCAGCAACGCCGCGUGAAUGAAGAAGGCUUUCGGGUUGUAAACUUCUUUCAGCAGGGAAGAGCGGAAUACGGUUCCUCUUUCAUAAGCCCCGGCUAACUCCGGGCCAGCACCCGCGGUAAUACGGAGGGUCCGAGCGGUAUCCUGAUUUAUUUGGUUUAAAGGGAUCGUAGAGGGGUUGUUAAGUCAGUUGGGAAAGUUUGGGGCUCAACCGUAAAAUUGCAAUUGAUACUGGCAGUCUUGAGUACAGUUGAGGUAGGCGGAAUGCGUGGUGUAGCGGUGAAAUGCUUAGAUAUCACGAAGAACUCCGAUUGCGAAGGCAGCUUACUAAACUGCCACUGACAUUGAUGCGCGAAAGUGUGGGUAUCAAACAGGAUUAGAUACCCUAGUAGUC